rnacentral:lncRNA from 10 species
CAAAAUGAUAAUGUUCCUUGAACUCAUCAGAGGACUGACAUCACAGGGCAACUAAGCAACUAGAAUUCCAAAGAAGGACAAGCCCCUCCAAAGACAGGAAGCAUGAGGGCAGGCUCAUCAGUGUCAGAGCAGGGGAGACCAGCACAGACACCUUACAAGCAGGUAAGAAAAUGGAGGCUCCCAGAGAUUUGACAACCUGCCCGCAGCAAUGACCAAAUCAGACUUGGUGCUAAGUCUGCACCUCCCCAAAGUCAGUGUGUUUGUAUGCUCUGCUGCCACUGCCCCCCGCUGGCCCUGCACAUGAUGUGAACCAUCAGGCAGACCUGGAGUUCUGUCUCCUGGGUGGGCUGCUUGCCAACACCAGGGUGGCUGGCCCCUGCCUGUGUCAGGUCCUGCAGUGUUGACUCUCUUCGUGUGAUGUUGGGCAGGUGGAGCUGGUUGUGCUGAGCCUGAGGAAACAUCCAAUGUGCCAAACUUUCUUGUGUGUUUCCCUCUGCUGGUUAUUUAGUAAGCCCAGGAAAAGAGCAAAUCCUGCCCCCAACAGAUGAUCCUCUCGAUGAGAGUGGUUAUGGUGAUGAUGCCAGCAUGCAGUGGGGAGAUUCGACUUUUCGAGAUUCUUCCAGCCCUUUGCUUCCCACAUUUCAUAAUGCUUGAUGGCAACAGCUCUGCUGACUGUUUGGGAAAAAGACAAUACUUAUGUCCCUUUUAGAGACACUUUACUCAGUCCCUCCCGCAAUGCUUAGUACGCAGAGAAAAUAGUAAAAUUAACCCGAUUUGCUCAUCACUCAGUUUUGGCCGUUAUCAACUAAUGGCCACUCUAGUUUCUACUGGGGUCCCAUAUACUCUGCCUGUCCCCUGAUUAUUUAGGUGCUAAUCCCAACAUUGUAUCCUUUUGAUGCGUUCCAAAGCAAAAAUAUUGAUUCCUAAGCUACCCUUGUGAAUUUUCUGAUUCAGGAGGUCAGGAAUGGGGCCUGGGAAUCUACACGUAUUUUCGAUUCUCCAGGUCUGGGAACCUACAGUAUAAAGGAAUGAGCAUGGACUUUAAGAAAGUCUGAGUUUGAGUCUUGGUUUUGCCCAAGCCUUAUAACUUUGGACGAAAACUUUAAGUUUUUGGACCUUGACCUCUUUGUCUUGAAGGAUCACCAACUCUGUGAACUUGUGGUCCACUAAGACCCUCCAACAUUUUUC